rnacentral:rRNA from 1 species
UACGGAGGGGGCGAGCGUUAUUCGGAAUUAUUGGGCGUAAAGGGCGCGUAGGCGGCUGUACAAGUCAAAGGUGAAAUCCCUCGGCUCAACUGAGGAACUGCCUUUGAAACUGUACGGCUUGAGGCCGGGAGGGGGUAGCGGAAUUCCCAGUGUAGCGGUGAAAUGCGUAGAUAUUAGGAAGAACACCGGUGGCGAAGGCGGCUCUCUGGAACGGUACUGACGCUGAGACGCGAAAGCGUGGGGAGCGAACAGG